UGGAUGGAAGCAUCCCGAGUGUCCUCUUCUGGGCCUGGCUUCUCUCCCGCUCUUGCGGGGUGGCGUUCCACUGCAUGGCAAUAACUCGGUGUGUUUCCCCACUCACCUGGGGAUGGCUGGUUUCCAGUUUCAGGCUGUUACAAAUACACUGCUAAGGACAUUUGUGUGCAAGAGUUUAUGUGGACUCACACUUCCCCUUGAGUACCCGGGGACAGAAUGUCCAGAGCCCGUGACAGCGCGUCUCUAACGUCUUUAAGAAGCUGCCGCGCAUCCCAAAGCCACGGUGGGAAUUCUAGUCCCUCCACAGCCUCGCCCACCACCUGCCAUCACCAGACUUCAUGCUGUUCGCUCUAACAGAUGACACUUAAUCCCUCAUUUGACAAAUAUUUGCUGAGGGCCUCCUGCAUGCCAGGCAUUGUCGUAGGCCCUUGGGAAGCUUCGUGAACAAGACAAAGAUCCCUGCCUUCCAGAAGCUUCAUCCUGGGGUGGACAUAAUUCCAGCAGGACAGACAGACACCCAGUGGACAUCAUGAAUAUGAUAGUUUUCAUUUGUGAAAAGUGGAAUUGACACCAAAAAAGCGUGAGUAACAAAAGGAUCAAUAAUUUGGACCUCAUCAAAAUUAAACACUUGUACAUCAAAGGAAGUGAAAAGACAACCCAAGAAUGAGAGAAAAUUCUGCAGAUCACUUAUCUGAUAAGGACCCGGUAUCCAGAAUGGGUACAGAACUCUCACCGCUAGGCAACAAAAAGACAAACGACCCAAUUAAAAAAUGGGCAAAGGAGACACACAAAGGGCCAAUGAGCACAUGAAAGGAUGCUCAACAGCACUCACUAGUCAUUAGGGAGACCCGGACCCACCAGGAUGGUUAGGACUAAAAGAGGAAAUCGCAAGUCUGGGAAAGGCGAGUCCACUCCGAGGUAUGUACUCAAGAGGAAUGAAAACAGGGAACCAAAAAAUUCACAGACGCCAAAAGGUGGAAACAAGGCAAGUGCCCAUUAGAGGGUCAACGGGUAAACUGGUGCAGCCGUAAAGAGGAACGGGGCUCUGACACCUGCCGCGACAUGGUGGAGACACGGGAAGCACGCUCCUCGAAAGAAGCCAGACGCAAAAGCCCACAUUCUGUACGAUUCUAUUUAUAUGAAAUGUCCAGCACGGGAAAAUCCAGAGACAGAAAGCAGAUUGGCCGUUGCUGGGGUCUGGCGAUCGGGGAGGAUGGGGAGACGGGGUUCCCUUUUGGGGGGAUUGGAGAUGUUCUGGAAUAUGCACGGGGUGGCGGCUGCAUGACACUGAACGCACUAAAGUCCACUGAAUUGUUGACUUGAGAAUGGUUAAUUUUGCUCUGAGAAUUUUACUUCAUUAACAAAAAAUGAAGUUCAGUGAAUUUUAAUUUCAAGAGCCGUGUGUCUGUCAUUAUCU